GGUCCGGCCGGCCACCGGUACGCCGACCGGUACCGGUACGGCGGACCUUGGUUCGUACCUUGUUGAUUGAAUCUUUUGUGCCUACUAAAUUUUGGGUAGAAGUUUUGUCUACGACUGUUUAUUUGAUUAAUCGUUUGCCUUUCCAGAUUUUACACUAUGAUUCUCUGUAUUCUCGUUUGUUUGGUGUUGCUCCUGAGUGUCACUCUCUCCACACAUUUGGUUGUGUUUGUUUUGUUCACUUGCCACCCGCAGAACGUCACAAGCUUGCUGCUGAAGCUGCUCGGUGUGCAUUUCUGGGGUACAAUAAUGCACAAAGGGUUUGUGUUAUGAUGCGGCUGCUAACAAACUCCGUGUCUCUCGAAAUAUGGUUUUCUUUGAAAAUCAAUAUUUCUUUCGGUCUCGUGUCACUCAUGAUUCCACUUCCGUUAUGCUUCCUAUUUUUGAUGAUGUGCCUUGUACUAUUGAGCGCUUUAAGCCAGGGGUUGUGUAUUAGAGACGUCGCCCACUAUCCCCAAUGCCUCUUCCUGACACUGAACCGGCACCUGAUCCAAUCGCGCUUGAACCUCGACAAUCAAACUGUGUCACUCGCCCUCCGGAUAGCAUGUUGGCAGCGAGCUAUGCAAGAAGAGCUUCAGGCUCUUCAGGACAACCACACCUGGGAUAUUGUACCGUGUCCCGAUGGGGUGAAGCUUGUUGGAUGCAAAUGGGUAUAUACAAGCAAGCUGCGGCCUGAUGGUUCCAUAGAAAGGUAUAAAGCACUUUUAGUGGCACUUGGGAAUCGACAGGAGUAUGGUCUCGAUUAUGAGGAGACCUUUGCACCCAUGGCUAACAUGACUACGUGCGAACCAUCGUGGCCAUCGCUGCUCGGAAGGAUGGUCUCUUCGACAGAUGGAUGUGAAGAAUGCAUUUUUACAUGAGGAUUUGAAGGAAGAGAUCUACAUGACUCCUCCAGGCAAUGUUCACUCACUCCUCUGAAGUUUGUUGGUUGAAGCGGUCUUUGUACGGGUUAAAGCAGGCACCGCAUGCAUAGUUUGAAAAGUUUCGUACCACUCUUCUUGAUUUUGAUUUUACUCAGAAUCAGUUUGAUUCCUCUCUCUUUCUUAGAAAGAUUGCUAGUGAGAUUGUUGUGCUUCUUGUGUAUGCGGAUGAUAUCGUCAUUACGGGGUCUGAUUCUUAGUUGAUUGAGCCACUGCAACAGCACCUCAAGGUUUUCUUUCAUAUGAAAGAUCUUGGUCCGGUGUAGUAUUUUUUUGGCCUUGAAGUGCAACUUAUUCCGACUGGUACGCUUUUGUAUCAGCACAAGUAUACCCAAGAGAUUAUUACUUUGGCUAGUCUUCAGUCAGGAAACUCGGUACUUACACCUAUGGAGGUAAAUUUGAAGCAAUGUUAGGAGGGUGAGCUAUUAUUUGAUCCAUCCCUAUAUAGGCAGCUGGGAGGGAGUUUGAAUUAUUUGACGAUUAUCAGGCAUGAUAUCUCCUUUGCAGUCCAAUAGGUCAGUCAGUUUAUGUAGGCACCUCAACAUUCCCACUUGGCCGUGGUGCGACGUAUUCUUCGUUAUCUGGAUACUUCUGGUCGAGGGUUAUUCUUUCCUACUGGGUCUUCUCUACAGUUGAUGGGUUUUAGUGACGCUGAUUGGGCUAAUUGUGUGGAUACUCGUCGUUCGGUUACUAGUUGGUGCAUGUUUCUUGGCGAUGCUCUUAUUUCUUGGAAGAGUAAGAAGCAAGAUCAAGUAUUGAAGUCCUCCACCGAGUCUGAGUAUCGUGCAGUGUCAUCAGCAUGCUCUGAGAUUGUGUGGCUUCGGGGUCUGUUGGGCGAACCUGGUAUUCCUCAACUUACGCCUACUCCACUUCAUGCUGACAACAUAAGUGCAAUUUAAAUUGCUGCCAAUCUGGUCUUUCAUGAACACACCAAGCAUAUUGAAGUAGAUUGUCAUUCCAUUCGUGAAGCACUUGAUCAACAUGUGAUUACUCUCCCUCACAUUUCCACCGACCUUCAGACGGCUUAUGUGUUUACCAAGGCUCUACCACGUCACCAGCAUCAGUUUAUGGUUGACAAAUUGAUGCUUCUUGAUCAGCCAGCAUCAAUUUGAGGGGGCAUGUCAGUGUGUACAGUGUACAGCUGUGUGUGUUGGUGUGGGUGUGUUAUAAUCUUUCCUUAUAUAAUGUAUAUCCAUAGAUAGGCAACAACUGUCUAUAGUUUCCUUAUAUAGUGUAUAUCCAUAGAUAGGCAACAGCUGUAUAUAGUUUCCUUGUUUAGGGAGAUUUUGAUUGAUAGUAGGCUGUAAUUAAGGAAAUAAUUUUCUAUUUAAUGAGAGGAACCCUCCAUUGAGAGGUAUUCAGA